UACGUAGGGAGCAAGCGUUGUCCGGAAUCAUUGGGCGUAAAGAGCGUGUAGGCGGCUCGGUAAGUCCGCUGUGAAAGUCCAGGGCUCAACCCUGGAAUGCCGGUGGAAACUGUCGAGCUAGAGUCCGGAAGAGGCGAGUGGAAUUCCUGGUGUAGCGGUGAAAUGCGCAGAUAUCAGGAGGAACACCAAUGGCGAAGGCAGCUCGCUGGGACGGCACUGACGCUGAGACGCGAAAGCGUGGGGAGCAAACAGG
rnacentral:rRNA from 1 species